rnacentral:rRNA from 1 species
UACGUAGGGUGCAAGCGUUGUCCGGAAUUAUUGGGCGUAAAGAGCUCGUAGGCGGUUUGUCGCGUCUGCUGUGAAAACGCGAGGCUCAACCUCGCGCCUGCAGUGGGUACGGGCAGACUAGAGUGCGGUAGGGGAGAUUGGAAUUCCUGGUGUAGCGGUGGAAUGCGCAGAUAUCAGGAGGAACACCGGUGGCGAAGGCGGGUCUCUGGGCCGUAACUGGACGCUGAGGCGCGAAAGCGUGGGGAGCAAACAGG